ensembl:snoRNA
AUGCACAAUUCAUUGUCCUGCUCUUCACUGUUAAGAGUUGUGAUAUUUCUGUUGUGCUAGAAAAAGCUGGAGGUAAAUUAGCAGAGCAGCUACUUGGUGCUGUUCCUGCCAGUCCCCUUCAAACAAUC